rnacentral:lncRNA from 1 species
UUCUGGACUUGUAUUUAGUUUUCAGUCAGUAAAGGGAGAACAUUGUUUCAAAAAGAUCAUAGACAUUUUGUUUUUGCUAUGUACAAGAAAUGUAAAGAUUCUGUGUCACAACUUGGUAGCGCUACAUGCGUCAAACAACAGAACACCACAGAGACAAGAGCCAAGAAAGUAAACUGGUACAAACAAAGCAUGAAACUUAAAAUGGACAGCAUAGAGGGCUGUGUGAGAGAGCGGAGGGGAGGAUAAAUUCUCUGAAAAAGGGGGAGAAUUCUGUUCAGUUUGUGGAGCAUUAGCAGUUGGCUGCAUCUGUUUGUUUGGCAGUUGGUGAUGAUAAAAUAAAAUGAUGAAUCAAAUAAAUAAUAAAUUGUGCUUUUUGGGACAUCAUAUUUACAACCAUGUAGUAAGAAUGUUAUUAAUGAGUCUGUCUGGAGACAGUAUGUUUGGUUUGGCCAAGUAGGAGGCCCGUUUCAAAGAGAUAGCUCAGGGUCCAAUAGAGUGCAUUUAUUUAUAACAAAAAAAUGGGAAACAAAAACAAAUAAAAGCCACAUUAAAAUCAUAGAAGUUCAUCCAACACCAGAGUGUAAAAGAGAAACAGGAAUCAUGAUCACUGUCAUGCGUGGUUUGAAAUCUGUAUUAUUUGACAGUGCUGGUCAUCUAUGAAUGUUUGAACAUCUUGAAGAACAAUCUGGCCUUAAAUGGCCAUGUACUCUUAUAAUCUCCACCCCGCACAGCCAGAAGAGGACUGGCCACCCCUCAGAGCCUGGUUCCUCUCUUGGUUUCUUCCUAGGUUCCUACCUUUCUAGGGAGUUUUUCCUAGCCACCGUGCUUCUACAUCUGUAUUGCUUGCUGUUUGGGGUUUUAGGCUGGGUUUCUGUAUAGCACUUUGUGAUAAAAAAUAAAUAAAUAAAGGGCUUUAUAAAUACAUUUGAUUGAUUGAUUGUUCAAUUUGACUUUACCAUGUGUGAAUGAGCUCUGCUGUAGCAUUUUAUGUGGAAGGAGACCCUGACUUUCGUGUGAUCAAUGCAUAUAUCCUCCCAUUUCCCCAUCUCCAUCUUUGUUACAAUGUAUUGAUUGUUAUACAUCAAUAUCCUAGACCUAGAAGACUACUAAGACAGAAAAAAAUCCAAAUACAUUUUUAAUGAAUCAUCUCUCUGAAUUCAGUUGCUAUUGGACUUAACACAGGGGGUGUUGGGCCUUGAUGUCAUGCACAUAAUCAGUAGUUACUUAGGGGCCCACUCACUGAAGCAAUUACAGAAUGUUUUGAACGUGAAUUGUGGGGGCUUGAGAACUGAACCCGACUUCAAGGUUAGAUUCCACCGAGUAAUUUGAGGACUUUCAGCUAUAGAGAACAGGACAGUUGACAAAGUAUUCUGAGACAGAUGAAGCAGGUAUAUAAUAAUAUAAUUUUAUGAGAAUAAUAAUACACCUUGCAAUAAGAGAACAAUGUAGGCCUACCCUCUUGUCUCUAAAAUGCAACUUAUCCAUGGAUCUGCAGUUCCCACAACGGAACCCUCUCACAACUUUACCCGGCCUGUUGUUUUCUUGUAAAUGCCAAUUCCAACACCCACCUUUCCCUGACACUUUACUCUUUAAAACGUUUACUUUCAAAGAACUCUAUGACUUGAACUGCCAAAGGCACAGGUGUACCUAAGCCACUUUGUUGGUGGCCUGAUCUUUCCACUGCCCUGCCAGGACUGGUAUUUAUAGAACCAGAGAAAUGGAUUCAAAUCCAAAAACCUGCCUCAAACCAACCAUCAUUUGCACAUUGUCAUUAUACACAAACAUGCUCAAGAGUGCAACCCUUUCAGUAGGAAAUACACAAAAAUGAUCACAAACACUCUUGUGUUUUGUGUUAAAC